UACGUAGGGUGCGAGCGUUGUCCGGAAUUACUGGGCGUAAAGAGCUCGUAGGUGGUUUGUCGCGUUGUCCGUGAAAACUCACAACUCAAUUGUGGGGCGUGCGGGGCGAUACGGGCAGACUGGAGUACUGCAGGGGAGACUGGAAUUCCUGGUGUAGCGGUGGAAUGCGCAGAUAUCAGGAGGAACACCGGUGGCGAAGGCGGGUCUCGUGGGCAGUAACUGACGCUGAGGAGCGAAAGCGUGGGGAGCGAACAGG
rnacentral:rRNA from 1 species